GACGAACGCUGGCGGCGUGCUUAACACAUGCAAGUCGAACGGAAAGGCCCUGCUUUUGUGGGGUGCUCGAGUGGCGAACGGGUGAGUAACACGUGAGUAACCUGCCCUUGACUUUGGGAUAACUUCAGGAAACUGGGGCUAAUACCGGAUAGGAGCUCCUGCUGCAUGGUGGGGGUUGGAAAGUUUGGGCGGUUGGGGAUGGACUCGCGGCUUAUCAGCUUGUUGGUGGGGUAGUGGCUUACCAAGGCUUUGACGGGUAGCAGGCCUGAGAGGGUGACCGGCCACAUUAAGACAGAGAUACAGCCCAGACUCCUACGGGCGGCAGCAGUGGGGAAUAUUGCACAAUGGGCGGAAGCCUGAUGCAGCAACUCCGCGUGCGGGAUCACGGCCUUCGGGUUGUAAACCGCUUUCGCCUGUGACGAAGCGUGAGUGACGGUAAUGGGUAAAGAAGCACCGGCUAACUACGUG
rnacentral:rRNA from 1 species